rnacentral:misc_RNA from 1 species
GAAAUGCGAUAAGUAAUGUGAAUUGCAGAAUUCAGUGAAUCAUCGAAUCUUUGAACGCACAUUGCGCCCUCUGGUAUUCCGGGGGGCAUGCCUGUUCGAGCGUCAUUACAACCCUCAAGCUCUGCUUGGUGUUGGGCGAUACCGCACGCGGUACGCCUCAAACGUAGUGGCGGUGCCGUUCGGCUCCUAGCGUAGUAACAACUCUCGCUAUGGGGACCGGGCGCGCGCCCGCCAGCAACCCACACUUCUAAAGGUUGACCUCGGAUCAGGUAGGGAUACCCGCUGAACUUAA